rnacentral:rRNA from 1 species
UACGUAGGGGGCAAGCGUUGUCCGGAAUCAUUGGGCGUAAAGCGCGUGUAGGCGGCUAGGUAAGUCUGCUCUGAAAGCCCGGGGCUCAACCCCGGGAGGCGGGUGGAUACUGUCUAGCUCGAGUCCGGAAGAGGAGUGUGGAAUUCCUGGUGUAGCGGUGGAAUGCGCAGAUAUCAGGAGGAACACCGAUGGCGAAGGCAGAUCUCUGGGCCGUAACUGACGCUGAGGAGCGAAAGCGUGGGGAGCGAACAGG